GACUCCACAUCGGAGGUGGGGUCGCAGCGCGCUCCUUCCUGGAAGGGAAGAGGCCAGAGGACGAAGCGGGUCACACCUCCAGAGCUGUCGGGGAAGAACCAUGGAGGUGACCUUGUGCCCUGCUCCAUAUAUAAGACAGCGGCAAGGCGCAGGACAGCAAACACUCCUGACUAUCGAGCUGCCUCUGUCGUUCCACAGUCAUCAUGAACACCAAGAGGGUCCUGGCCUGGUGCGUGCUGGUGGUGGCAGUGAUAGCCACGGCUGCUGCUAAUGCCAACCCUGGUCGUGGAGGCUACAACAGGAGGGGCUAGGAGGACGUACUCUCCCCUCGCUGUGACCAAGGAAUACCUGACCCAAACACGAUAUCUCUUAAACACUCUACCACUUUCUCGUUUUUAAUGUUACUAAUGUAAACAUUUUCUCCUCGUUCUAAUUUUUUCGCAUAACUAUUUUUAUAAUGUCAGAAUUAAUAUCAGUAUCUGUAGUUCUUACAAUAAAGAAAAUUUUAUAAAAUAACAACUGUAUAUUUCUAUUGCAAAAUUGUCCUUCAACUAUCAAAAAAAAAAACUAAAAA